CUACGGGUGGCAGCAGUGAGGAAUAUUGCACAAUGGGGGGAACCCUGAUGCAGCAACGCCGCGUGGAGGAUGACGCAUUUCGGUGUGUAAACUCCUUUUAUGAGUCAAGAAAAUGACGGUAGCUCAUGAAUAAGCACCGGCGUAACUCCGUGCCAGCAGCCGCGGUAAUACGGAGGGUGCAAGCGUUACUCGGAAUCACUGGGCGUAAAGGACGCGUAGGCGGGUUGUCAAGUCAGGUGUGAAAUCCUACAGCUUAACUGUAGAACUGCACUUGAAACUGGCAGCCUAGAGUAUGGGAGGGGGAGAUGGAAUUAGUGGUGUAGGGGUAAAAUCCGUAGAUAUCACUAGGAAUACCUAAAGCGAAGGCGAUCUCCUGGAACAUUACUGACGCUAAGGCGUGAAAGCGUGGGGAGCAAACAGGAUUAGAUACCCUUGUAGUC
rnacentral:rRNA from 1 species